rnacentral:rRNA from 1 species
AUUGAACGCUGGCGGCAGGCCUAACACAUGCAAGUCGAACGAGUGGCGGACGGGUGAGUAAUGUCUGGGAAACUGCCCGAUGGAGGGGGAUAACUACUGGAAACGGUAGCUAAUACCGCAUACAAUCGGAUGUGCCCAGAUGGGAUUAGCUAGUGGGUGGGGUAAAGGCUCACCUAGGCGACGAUCCCUCGCUGGGCUGAGAGGAUGACCAGCCACACUGGAACUGAGAAACGGUCCAGACUCGUACGGUAGGCAGCAGUGGGUAAUAUUGCAAAAUGGGCGCAAGCCUGAUGCAGCCAUGCCGCGUGUAUGAAGAAGGCCUUCGGGUUGUAAAGUACUUUCAGCGAGGAGGCGUUACUCGAAGAAGAAGAACCGGCUAACUCCGUGCCAGCCGCCGCGGUAAUUC